UUUGCUUGAACCUCAUAUCUGUAUUUGCAUAAGAAAACAAUUUCAUAACCCAAAAAGGAAACAGAAAAUGGAUAGUAUGGCCUAUGGUGGUGGUGCUCCUUCAGCAAAUAAUAUGAAGAAGAAGAAAAAUCAACUCCAGAUGAAUGGUAUGAGCUAUGACGGAGGUGCUCCGUCUGCUCCACCGGUGCGUACAGAUAGUUCUAAAAAAGUUCAAACACUAAGUGCUCAAGAUGCCAAACUAUCUUAUAGGAACACCUGAUAUGACCAACACCGAACAACUAUAUAUAUAGUUACAAAAUAUGAAGAAAAUAUGAAUUUCAAUAUUGAUAGUUAAAAUUUUAAUGUUUGUUUCAAACUUGUUUCUAAACUAUAGGCUUAUAAAUUAUACUUUUUACUAAACUUAGAAAAUGCAUGGGUGAAAGAUCAU
rnacentral:lncRNA from 1 species